rnacentral:rRNA from 1 species
UACGGAGGGGGCGAGCGUUAUUCGGAAUUAUUGGGCGUAAAGGGCGCGUAGGCGGCGGGGUAAGUCGGGUGUGAAAUCUCAGAGCUCAACUCUGAAACUGCACUCGAUACUGCUCUGCUUGAGGACUGGAGAGGAGACUGGAAUUCACGGUGUAGCAGUGAAAUGCGUAGAUAUCGUGAGGAGGACCAGUGGCGAAGGCGGGUCUCUGGACAGUUCCUGACGCUGAGGCGCGAAGGCCAGGGGAGCAAACGGG